AUCUUUUUGUUUUUUUACAUUUUUACUUUUAACAUUUAUAAUUCACUGUAUUGUAGCUCAUCAAUCGGAGGAUGAUUCAAGUUCCGAUUUUGAUGAUUACCAACCACCUUUUUCAAUUAAUGGAAAUAGUCCUACAACUUCUGAAGGUAAUCAUAAUUAAACAACAAACUUAUAUUUUAAUAUAGUUCUCUUUUAUAACACUAUGCAUGUUUUCACAUGAUAUUACAAUAUUGGGGAUCCUCUAAUUGAG
rnacentral:lncRNA from 1 species